AAAAAGGCAAACCCUGGGUUUCCGUGUCCAACGUUUGACUGUCCGUCUUAUAUGAAAUUUUUUUAUAAUUAGUAUUUUUAUUAUUGUUAGAUAAUAAAAUAUGAUUAAUACUUAAUGCGUGACUUGUCUUUUUAAUUUUUUCAAAUAAGACGGACGGUCAAACGUUGGACACGUAAACCCAUGGUUUGUCUUUUU
rnacentral:pre_miRNA from 1 species